GCCAAUUUAAUGCUUGAGGAUGGGUAGAGAUGGUGCUUUCAGGACAACUUGGAAUUCGGAAUAAACGGGUCAAAUCAUGACGUCAGUGGUCUUCAGGUCGAAAAGUCACAACUCGAGAAAGAUACCCGAGUUCCCGACUUAAAAUUCUAAGUUCGUUCUAAGACCGUUGAAAACGAUUUUUCCCUGACGGGACUCGAUUUUUUCCGAGUUCCCAGAUGUCUUGAACGCACUGACGUCUGAGAUUUCCGAGUUCCCAGAUGUUUUCAACGCGACAAGAGAUGUGAUGAAUGGGAUGAGAGGAGAAAUCAGAGACUACACAAACAGACGGCUGAAGACGGGAGGCGUUCGAUGGAGCGAAAAGAAGUCGUGAUUUGACAUCUCUGUCUGAGAUAAAUAAUAUCAACGAACUGGCAAUCGUUCAUAUUUAAACAUAAUUUACCAUAGCAUUUCAUAUUCGCCCGGCAUCUUAGAUGCUAGCUGCUUGUCUGAUCUGGUACUAGAGAUGGUGGAGCCAUGAGAAUUGCACCAAGUCUUUCCGCGAAAACAGAUGGGAGAUGAAGCCUACUCGACAAAAAAACACAUUCCCCUGUAGCUAAAAAUGAGUUUAUUAUUGUUGCAGAUGUAUUUAUGAUGUUAGUGCCAUGCAAUGAUGCGUUUGAUAAGCUGUAGUAGAAUAGCUGCUGGAGGAAUUUUGAUGGCACUUACGACGCCAGGGAAAGAGGCAACGAGUAAAUUGUGCUAUUUUGAACAGUCGGGCCUUACAAAGUGACAUGCAGGAAUGAAUGUUCAGCAUUUUUCUCGCCCGAGGAUAACUGUAUGCGGUGCAGGCAGCUGGUCACAUUGAAAGCGGCGGUGUCUUUGGAGAGUAGCGAAAUACAAGGGAGCGGAGAGGAGCGCCGAGCUGUAAAUACCGAAGUCCGUCUAGAACCAAGUGGAUAUUUGAAGACUAUUUUAGCAGCCAAGAUAAGAUUUUGUUCUGUCAAUAUUAAUGCAAGCGGUCCCUAUUUACCUGCCUUAUAAGUGUAAAAUGAGGUUCGCGCUACAUGGGAAUUAAAAACAGUCUCUGUCAAUCAUGUAUGUGGUCCUUGGUAGCCAACAUUAGCUUAGCUGCUAUCGUCGUUGAGCAUGAUUGAAAAGUGCAUAUCAUUUAUCUAACGUCAACACCGAUGUUUUCGAUCCUCAUGCAUGCACCGACACGUUUGUUUGGGAAAGCUUUCAACCAACACCCACAGCGUAUAACAGACGAACAGGCUAUGUCGGCGUGAAGGGAACCACACUGACUAUCUCGAGUACCCCGUCAAGCCAUAGCCGUCAACAGCGUUGUGAAGAACCGAUUAUUGGAGAGGAAAACACAGUAGCUUGUUCAUUCCCGCGUUGGAGCCCUCGGCGACCACGGCCUGAAUCCCUUCGAUUAACCGACCAAGCAAAAUGGGGUACGUAUCGCGCAAUGUAGUGCCAUUUUUAUCCUGUACUAAUCUUCCCUGACAAGAAUGGUGUUCAUGGGAGGUGUUAUGAUUCCUAUGAAGCCUGGUUUGUUUCCAGAUAAAUACGUGUGGGUAGAAGGUUGAG
ensembl:lncRNA